rnacentral:rRNA from 1 species
GAUGAACGCUGGCGGCGUGCCUAAUACAUGCGAGUCGAACGAAACUUCUUUAUCACCGAGUGCUUGCACUCACCGAUAAAGAGUUGAGUGGCGAACGGGUGAGUAACACGUGGGCAACCUGCCCAAAAGAGGGGGAUAACACUUGGAAACAGGUGCUAAUACCGCAUAACCAUAGUUACCGCAUGGUAACUAUGUAAAAGGUGGCUAUACUACCGCCUUUGGAUGGGCCCGCGGCGCAUUAGCUAGUUGGUAGGGUAAAGGCUUACCAAGGCAAUGAUGCGUAGCCGAAUUGAGAGGUUGAUCGGCCACAUUGGGACUGAGACACGGCCCAGACUCCUACGGGAGGCAGCAGUAGGGAAUCUUCCACAAUGGGCGAAAGCCUGAUGGAGCAACGCCGCGUGAGUGAAGAAGGUCUUCGGAUCGUAAAACCCUGUUGUUAGGGAAGAAAGUGCGUGAGAGUAACUGUUCACGUUUCGACGGUAUCUAACCAGAAAGCCACGGCUAACUACGUG